CAUUAGUCCCAAUCCAUUUCUACUAUUAAAAAGUGGCAUAGCUAACAGAAUAACUAGACAGUUACAUAUGACGUAUAUCUCAUGUCGAUGUACAAGAACCAGUUUUUAACAGUAGAAAUAGAUAGAACUUUUAACA
rfam:Gossypium arboreum cultivar AKA8401 contig_614_1, whole genome shotgun sequence.